UACAGAGGUCUCAAGCGUUGUUCGGAUUCAUUGGGCGUAAAGGGUGUGUAGGUGGCGCGCUAAGUCGGGUGUGAAAUUUCGGAGCUUAACUCCGAAACUGCAUUCGAUACUGGCGUGCUUGAGGACGGGAGAGGAGACUGGAAUUCAUGGUGUAGCAGUGAAAUGCGUAGAGAUCAUGAGGAAGACCAGUGGCGAAGGCGGGUCUCUGGACAGUUCCUGACACUGAGACACGAAGGCGAGGGGAGCAAACGGG
rnacentral:rRNA from 1 species